UCUCGCGUCAGGAUAUGCCUAGGUGGGAUUAGCUAGUUGGUGAGGUAAGGGCUCACCAAGGCGACGAUCCCUAGCUGGUCUGAGAGGAUGAUCAGCCACACUGGAACUGAGACACGGUCCAGACUCCUACGGGAGGCAGCAGUGGGGAAUAUUGCACAAUGGGCGCAAGCCUGAUGCAGCCAUGCCGCGUGUGUGAAGAAGGCCUUCGGGUGUAAAGCACUUUCAGUCGUGAGGAAGGUAGUGUAGUUAAUAGCUGCAUUAUUUGACGUUAGCGACAGAAGAAGCACCGGCUAACUCCGUGCCAGCAGCCGCGGUAAUACGGAGGGUGCGAGCGUUAAUCGGAAUUACUGGGCGUAAAGCGCAUGCAGGUGGUUUGUUAAGUCAGAUGUGAAAGCCCGGGGCUCAACCUCGGAAUAGCAUUUGAAACUGGCAGACUAGAGUACUGUAGAGGGGGGUAGAAUUUCA
rnacentral:rRNA from 1 species